GUGGGGAAUCUUGCGCAAUGGGCGAAAGCCUGACGCAGCCAUGCCGCGUGAAUGAUGAAGGUCUUAGGAUUGUAAAAUUCUUUCACCGGGGACGAUAAUGACGGUACCCGGAGAAGAAGCCCCGGCUAACUUCGUGCCAGCAGCCGCGGUAAUACGAAGGGGGCUAGCGUUGCUCGGAAUUACUGGGCGUAAAGGGCGCGUAGGCGGAUCGUUAAGUCAGGGGUGAAAUCCCAGAGCUCAACUCUGGAACUGCCCUUGAUACUGGCGAUCUUGAGUGUGAGAGGGGUAUGUGGAACUCCGAGUGUAGAGGUGAAAUUCGUAGAUAUUCGGAAGAACACCAGUGGCGAAGGCGACAUACUGGCUCAUUACUGACGCUGAGGCGCGAAAGCGUGGGGAGCAAACAGGAUUAGAUACCCGUGUAGUCC
rnacentral:rRNA from 1 species